rnacentral:rRNA from 1 species
UACGGAGGGUGCAAGCGUUAUCCGGAUUUACUGGGUUUAAAGGGUGCGUAGGCGGGUUGUUAAGUCAGUGGUGAAAGAUUCGAGCUCAACUCGGAAACUGCCUUCGAUACUGGCGAUCUUGAGUUCGGGAGAGGUGAGUGGAACUGCGAGUGUAGAGGUGAAAUUCGUAGAUAUUCGCAAGAACACCAGUGGCGAAGGCGGCUCACUGGCCCGAUACUGACGGCUGAGGCACGAAAGCGUGGGGAGCAAACAGG